rnacentral:rRNA from 1 species
ACGAAAUGCCUCUCAUCACCCCGUCUUGUAACACGGACCAAGGAGUCUAACAUGUGUGCGAGUGCUCGGGGUGAACCCCCCAGCGCGAAAUUAACGUAAAGGUGGAUUUAUUCACUUAGGUAGGAACUUCGGUGCACUAUCGACCGACCAUGAUCCUCCGGGAGAAAGGUUUGAGUGUGAGCAUACAUGUUGGGACCCGAAAGAUGGUGAACUAUGCUUGAGUAGGGCGAAGCCAGGGGAAACUCUGGUGGAGGUCCGCAGCGAUUCUAACGUGCAAAUUGAUCGUCGAACUUGGGUAUAGGGGCGAAAGACUAAU